CCGGCGUGUCGCUCGGGCCGAUGAGCGCGGCGCCCGCGCCGUCGCCCAGAAGGAAGGAGAUGCUGCGGUCGGUCGGGUCGACGAUGUCGGA
rnacentral:tRNA from 1 species